GCUACAGAUCCAUGCGCACCUAAUCGAGCAGACACUUAAACAGCUUCUUCCCUGUAGCCAUUAACUCCCUAAACAGUCACUGUCGUAGUCACUCUUCUUCUUUUUGUCAUGUCUUUGUUUACGAUGAUACUAAUGCAGCGUGUUAUACCGGAGACAAAUUCCUUGUGUGUCCUACAUACUUGGCCAAUAAAGAUUAUUCUGAUUCUGA